rnacentral:sRNA from 1 species
GCUGGGUGUGGUGGCGCAUGCCUAUAAUCCCAGCAACUUCGGAGGCUGAGGCAGGAAGAUUUGAGUCCAAAGCAGCCUUAGCAACUUAGCAAGGCAACAAGCAACUCAGUGAGACCCUGUCUCUA